GACGAACGCUGGCGGCGUGCUUAACACAUGCAAGUCGAACGGAAAGGCCCUGCUUUUGUGGGGUGCUCGAGUGGCGAACGGGUGAGUAACACGUGAGUAACCUGCCCUUGUCUUUGGGAUAACUUCAGGAAACUGGGGCUAAUAUCGGAUAGGAGCUCCUGCUGCAUGGUGGGCGUUGGAAAGUUUCGGCGGUUGGGGAUGGACUCGCGGCUUACGAGCUUGUUGGUGGGGUAGUGGCUUACCAAGGCUUUGACGGGUAGCCGGCCUGUGAGGGUGACCGGCCACAUUGGGACUAAGGUACGGCCCAGACUCGUACGGGAGGCAGCAGGGGGGAAUAUUGCACAGUGGGCGGAAGCCUGAUGCAGCAGCGCCGCGUGCGGGAUGACGGCCUUCGGGUUGUAAACCGCUUUCGCCUGUGACGAAGCGUGAGUGACGGUAAUGGGUAAAGAAGCACCGGCUAACUACGUG
rnacentral:rRNA from 1 species